rnacentral:rRNA from 1 species
GGGUUGUGAGGUUAAGCGACUAAGCGUACACGGUGGAUGCCCUGGCAGUCAGAGGCGAUGAAGGACGUGCUAAUCUGCGAUAAGCGUCGGUGAGGUGAUAUGAACCGUUAUAACCGGCGAUUUCCGAAUGGGGAAACCCAGUGUGUUUCGACACACUAUCAUUAACUGAAUCCAUAGGUUAAUGAGGCGAACCGGGGGAACUGAAACAUCUAAGUACCCCGAGGAAAAGAAAUCAACCGAGAUUCCCCCAGUAGCGGCGAGCGAACGGGGAGGAGCCCAGAGCCUGAAUCAGUGUGUGUGUUAGUGGAAGCGUCUGGAAAGGCGCGCGAUACAGGGUGACAGCCCCGUACACAAAAAUGCACAUAUUGUGAGCUCGAUGAGUAGGGCGGGACACGUGGUAUCCUGUCUGAAUAUGGGGGGACCAUCCUCCAAGGCUAAAUACUCCUGACUGACCGAUAGUGAACCAGUACCGUGAGGGAAAGGCGAAAAGAACCCCGGCGAGGGGAGUGAAAAAGAACCUGAAACCGUGUACGUACAAGCAGUGGGAGCCUCUUAAUGGGGUGACUGCGUACCUUUUGUAUAAUGGGUCAGCGACUUAUAUUCUGUAGCAAGGUUAACCGAAUAGGGGAGCCGAAGGGAAACCGAGUCUUAACUGGGCGUUAAGUUGCAGGGUAUAGACCCGAAACCCGGUGAUCUAGCCAUGGGCAGGUUGAAGGUUGGGUAACACUAACUGGAGGACCGAACCGACUAAUGUUGAAAAAUUAGCGGAUGACUUGUGGCUGGGGGUGAAAGGCCAAUCAAACCGGGAGAUAGCUGGUUCUCCCCGAAAGCUAUUUAGGUAGCGCCUCGUGAAUUCAUCUCCGGGGGUAGAGCACUGUUUCGGCAAGGGGGUCAUCCCGACUUACCAACCCGAUGCAAACUGCGAAUACCGGAGAAUGUUAUCACGGGAGACACACGGCGGGUGCUAACGUCCGUCGUGAAGAGGGAAACAACCCAGACCGCCAGCUAAGGUCCCAAAGUCAUGGUUAAGUGGGAAACGAUGUGGGAAGGCCCAGACAGCCAGGAUGUUGGCUUAGAAGCAGCCAUCAUUUAAAGAAAGCGUAAUAGCUCACUGGU